rnacentral:rRNA from 1 species
UACGUAUGGGGCAAGCGUUAUCCGGAUUUACUGGGUGUAAAGGGAGCGCAGGCGGCCUGGCAAGCCUGAUGUGAAAUACCGGGGCCCAACCCCGGGGCUGCAUUGGGAACUGCCAGGCUGGAGUGCCGGAGAGGCAGGCGGAAUUCCUAGUGUAGCGGUGAAAUGCGUAGAUAUUAGGAGGAACACCAGUGGCGAAGGCGGCCUGCUGGACGGUGACUGACGCUGAGGCUCGAAAGCGUGGAGAGCAAACAGG